rnacentral:rRNA from 1 species
AGUGAACGCUGGCGGCAGGCUUAACACAUGCAAGUCGAGCGGGCGUAGCAAUACGUCAGCCGCAGACGGGUGAGGAACGCGUGGGAACGUACCUUUUGGUUCGGAACAACACAGGGAAACUUGUGCUAAUACCGGAUAAGCCCUUACGGGGAAAGAUGUAUCUCCGAAAGAUCGGCCCGCGUCUGAUAAGCUAGUUGGUGAGGUAACGGCACACCAAGUCGACGAGUAGUAGAUGUGCUGAGAGGAAGAUCAGCCACAUUGAGACUGGGACACGGCACAAACUCCUACGCGAGGCAGCAGAGGGGGAUAUUGGAACAUGGCGGCGACCCUGAUGCACCCAUGCCGCGUAAGUGAUGAAGGCCCUAGGGAUGUAAAGCUCUUUUGUGCGGGAAGAUAAUGACGGUACCGAAAGAAUAAGCCCCGGCUAACUUCGUG